CUCUGAGCCUCGCAGGGACUCUGCCUUGAUCACAGCGCCAGGGCCUUUUCUGGCUUCUCAGCAGUCUGUGUGAACCUUCAGAUGGGGUGGGCACACGUGGCACCCCCAGCCAAGCAGGGGACGGGCCGGACUCGGUCCUCCAGUGUCACCUCUCCCUCCUGCCACUGGAACCGAGGCUUAGAAUCACUGAGGCGGUGGGAACAUAGCUGUGGGCACAAGAGUGGACAUUUCUACGGCGUUCCCUGCUGACCAGGCGCUGUUCUCACGUGCCUCACAGCACACAUUAACUCAUCUUCCCCGCAACCAGCCCUGGAGGGCAGGGACUGUGAUUUUCCCCAUUUUACAGAUGAAGAAACAGAAGCAGAAAUGUUUAAACUUAUGGGAAGAUACACCACUAACAAGGGCUGGAGCCAGGACUCUAGCCAUGCAGUGUGGCUGCAGAGUACAGGAUUUUAAUCACCCGUUGCAUCCUCUGGCGUCGGGCAGGGCUGGACUUCAGGCUGGGUUUUCCCCGUUCCCAGCUGCACCCACGUCGUGUCUCCUCCUGGAGUCUAAGUUUCCUGUGCUGUGA
rnacentral:lncRNA from 10 species